GACGAACGCUGGCGGCGUGCUUAACACAUGCAAGUCGAACGGAAAGGCCCUGCUUUUGUGGGGUGCUCGAGUGGCGAACGGGUGAGUAACACGUGAGUAACCUGCCCUUGACUUUGGGAUAACUUCAGGAAACUGGGGCUAAUACCGGAUAGGAGCUCCUGCUGCAUGGUGGGGGUUGGAAAGUUUCGGCGGUUGGGGAUGGACUCGCGGCUUAUCAGCUUGUUGGUGGGGUAGUGGCUUACCAAGGGUUUGACGGGUAGCCGGCCUGAGAGGGUGACCGGCCACAUUGGGACUGAGAUACGGCCCAGACUCCUACGGGAGGCAGCAGUGGGGAAUAUUGCACAAUGGGCGGAAGCCUGAGGCAGCAACGCCGCGUGCGGGAUGACGUCCUUCGGGUUGUAAACCGCUUUCGCCUGUGACGAAGCGUGAGUGACGGUAAUGGGUAAAGAAGCACCGGCUAACUACGUG
rnacentral:rRNA from 1 species